rnacentral:rRNA from 1 species
AGAACGAACGCUGGCGGCAUGCCUAAUACAUGCAAGUCGAACGAAGGCUUCGGCCUUAGUGGCGCACGGGUGCGUAACGCGUGGGAAUCUGCCCCUUGGUUCGGAAUAACAGUUGGAAACGACUGCUAAUACCGGAUGAUGACGAAAGUCCAAAGAUUUAUCGCCAAGGGAUGAGCCCGCGUAGGAUUAGCUAGUUGGUGAGGUAAAGGCUCACCAAGGCGACGAUCCUUAGCUGGUCUGAGAGGAUGAUCAGCCACACUGGGACUGAGACACGGCCCAGACUCCUACGGAGGCAGCAGUAGGGAAUAGUUGGACAAUGGGCGAAAGCCUGAUCCAGCAAUGCCGCGUGAGUGAUG